UACGGAGGGUGCAAGCGUUAUCCGGAUUUACUGGGGUUAAAGGGUGUGUAGGCGGACUUUUAAGUCAGGGGUGAAAUCCCGAGGCUCAACCUCGGAACUGCCUUUGAUACUAUUGGUCUUGAAUGUUGUUGAGGUGGGCGGAACGGGUCAUGUAGCGGUGAAAUGCAUAGAUAUGACCCGGAACACCGAUUGCGAAGGCAGCCCGCUAAGCAACUAUUGACGCUGAGGCACGAAAGCGUGGGGAUCAAACAGG
rnacentral:rRNA from 1 species